GAUGAACGCUGGCGGCGUGCCUAAUACAUGCAAGUCGAGCGAACGGACGAGAAGCUUGCUUCUCUGAUGUUAGCGGCGGACGGGUGAGUAACACGUGGAUAACCUACCUAUAAGACUGGGAUAACUUCGGGAAACCGGAGCUAAUACCGGAUGAUAUUUUGAACCGCAUGGUUCAAAAGUGAAAGACGGUCUUGCUGUCACUUAUAGAUGGAUCCGCGCUGCAUUAGCUAGUUGGUAAGGUAACGGCUUACCAAGGCAACGAUGCAUAGCCGACCUGAGAGGGUGAUCGGCCACACUGGAACUGAGACACGGUCCAGACUCCUACGGGAGGCAGCAGUAGGGAAUCUUCCGCAAUGGGCGAAAGCCUGACGGAGCAACGCCGCGUGAGUGAUGAAGGUCUUCGGAUCGUAAAACUCUGUUAUUAGGGAAGAACAUAUGUGUAAGUAACUGUGCACAUCUUGACGGUACCUAAUCAGAAAGCCACGGCUAACUACGUGCCAGCAGCCGCGGUAAUACGUAGGUGGCAAGCGUUAUCCGGAAUUAUUGGGCGUAAAGCGCGCGUAGGCGGUUUUUUAAGUCUGAUGUGAAAGCCUACGGCUCAACCGUGGAGGGUCAUUGGAAACUGGAAAACUUGAGUGCAGAAGAGGAAAGUGGAAUUCCAUGUGUAGCGGUGAAAUGCGCAGAGAUAUGGAGGAACACCAGUGGCGAAGGCGACUUUCUGGUCUGUAACUGACGCUGAUGUGCGAAAGCGUGGGGAUCAAACAGGAUUAGAUACCCUGGUAGUCCACGCCGUAAACGAUGAGUGCUAAGUGUUAGGGGGUUUCCGCCCCUUAGUGCUGCAGCUAACGCAUUAAGCACUCCGCCUGGGGAGUACGACCGCAAGGUUGAAACUCAAAGGAAUUGACGGGGACCCGCACAAGCGGUGGAGCAUGUGGUUUAAUUCGAAGCAACGCGAAGAACCUUACCAAAUCUUGACAUCCUUUGACAACUCUAGAGAUAGAGCCUUCCCCUUCGGGGGACAAAGUGACAGGUGGUGCAUGGUUGUCGUCAGCUCGUGUCGUGAGAUGUUGGGUUAAGUCCCGCAACGAGCGCAACCCUUAAGCUUAGUUGCCAUCAUUAAGUUGGGCACUCUAAGUUGACUGCCGGUGACAAACCGGAGGAAGGUGGGGAUGACGUCAAAUCAUCAUGCCCCUUAUGAUUUGGGCUACACACGUGCUACAAUGGACAAUACAAAGGGCAGCGAAACCGCGAGGUCAAGCAAAUCCCAUAAAGUUGUUCUCAGUUCGGAUUGUAGUCUGCAACUCGACUACAUGAAGCUGGAAUCGCUAGUAAUCGUAGAUCAGCAUGCUACGGUGAAUACGUUCCCGGGUCU
rnacentral:rRNA from 1 species